GAAACGGAUGCUAAUACCGCAUACGCCCUACGGGGGAAAGCGGGGGAUCUUCGGACCUCGCGCUAAUGGAUGAGCCUAAGUCGGAUUAGCUUGUUGGUGAGGUAAUGGCUCACCAAGGCGACGAUCCGUAGCUGGUCUGAGAGGACGAUCAGCCACACUGGGACUGAGGCACGGCCCAGACUCCUACGGGAGGCAGCAGUGGGGAAUAUUGGACAAUGGGCGCAAGCCUGAUCCAGCAAUGCCGCGUGUGUGAAGAAGGCCUGCGGGUUGUAAAGCACUUUCAGUAGAGAAGAAAAGCCUACGGUUAAUAACCGUGAGUCUUGACGUAACCUACAGAAGAAGCACCGGCUAACUCCGUGCCAGCAGCCGCGGUAAUACGGAGGGUGCAAGCGUUAAUCGGAAUUACUGGGCGUAAAGCGCGCGUAGGCGGCUUUGUAAGUCGGAUGUGAAAGCCCCGGGCUUAACCUGGGAAUUGCAUUCGAUACUGCAGAGCUAGAGUAUGGUAGAGGGAAGUGGAAUUCCGGGUGUAGCGGUGAAAAUGCGUAGAUAUCCGGAGAACACCAGUGGCGAAGGCGACUUCCUGGGCCAAUACUGAC
rnacentral:rRNA from 1 species